AACAAAAAAGUCAACCACCUGACAUAUAAUAAAAGAAAGUUUGUACUUACCGAGAUAUCUUACAUUUCUUAUCUUCAGCUACGUAGUCAAAAACGUUUGAUGAAUUACAAUAGACUUCGGUGGGCUUCUCUUAGAGACAUAACAUAUCUAGAUAAGAUAUCGUACAUAGUUAAAAAUAUUGAAGAAUGCCAGAAGUUAUGAGUUUAAUAUAUAAUUACAAUUUAUAGCUUGCAAAUGAACCUACGUUUCUUAGUUCAGUCAAGCUAUGUUUAUAGUGAUUCUGACUUGUAACAAUCCUUCCAUAAUACUGAUUAUGAGAAACAAAAGCAUUGAUUUUUAAUGUAUUAUCUGAGAGAUAAAAGGAACGUGCAAUAAAUAUUGACAAUUAACAAAACGUAUCAGAGCAUAGAACAAUUGUACCAAAAUGCAAAAGAGUAGGCAAGUUAUGCAGAACUUAUCGCAGCUUUAAAGAAGAUUAUUAGUAAUAAAAACCAACCACUUAGCUGAGAAUUUGUACUGGACUCCGGCAUCCAUACUCAGAAUAAAGCAGGCACAAUAAAUUCAAAUACAAUGAUACGUCUGAUUAAGUAACCGUUUAACUGAUGUUAAGCAACAGUUAAUUGAAAACGCUUUUAAGGAAACACAAAGGCAAUUUUUACCUCUUAUUGAUUCAGGCACUCAGCAAAAAACUGACUUUGGACAAUUAACGAAAUAAAUGAAAAUAGGAUAACAGUUAAACUAUUAUCAAACUGUGCAAUCACGGUGAAGUCGCUUUAUGACCUGUUUUGAUCUAACUGAAAUCACUCAAAAAUAAAAAAAACUAUUCAAAACUAAAACUGUAACUUAAUGCAUAUAAAUUAUUAAUUUUUAUAGCUCAGGAUUUCAAUUUUGCAUAUUUCGUCAUUUGUAUUAGGAAGAUAAGGUGUAUUAUUUUGGAAGUUUACCUGGAAUGCUUUCUUUGGCAAUUCUGACCCUUGCUUUAUCUAAGUAACUUUAAUAGCUGGGGAAUGGAUAAACGAUGACUAACAUGAGUUGGGCUUUAAAAACUAUUCAUUUAUUUUACCAACAGACUUUUCAUUUAGAUCACUUUUGUCCAAAUUCGUAAUAUUUUUAUGUCAUUUACUAACCACAGUAAAUGAAAAAAAUCUGCCUUUAAUCGUUGAUCUUGCGCCUGUAUAUAUUUUAUUAAAUUACGAUGUUCAACUUAUCAACAGAAGUAAAUCAAGUACAAAAAAUGUAAUUCGUAAGAUUUCGAAUAAUCACGAAACUUGAAUUUUACGGAUAAAAUGUUCAGUUUACCUUUGGUAUCGUUCAACUUUUUGGCGUUGAA